AUGUUGUUGUUGUUGUUGCAGAGGUGCGGCAUGAGCAGCCGGUGGUGGUGGUGGAAAACGCGAAAGCACUUCAGCAAACUUGUUAUCGAGCUUUGUUUCAAACGUCUUCUCCAUGCCAUCUAUCUUCUCCAUGGCCUCUUCAAAUCUGUUUAUCACAUCUUGCACCUGUCCACUCAUCAUUUGCUGAAACGUAUCAUGAAGCUCCUUGUUCGUCAAGUUCUCCCAGCCGUCUCGUCGACUUGUGAUCCUGGCAUGGUUAGCAGCAAUAGAAACACACAAGAAUAUGAUCCUACAGACUACUAA
rnacentral:rRNA from 1 species